UACGGGGGGGGCAAGCGUUGUUCGGAUUUACUGGGCGUAAAGAGCGCGCAGGCGGUCGUUCAAGUCGAGUGUGAAAGCCCCCGGCUCAACUGGGGAGGGUCAUUCGAUACUGAUCGACUCGAAGGCAGGAGAGGGUAGUGGAAUUCCCGGUGUAGUGGUGAAAUGCGUAGAUAUCGGGAGGAACACCAGUGGCGAAGGCGACUACCUGGCCUGUUCUUGACGCUGAGGCGCGAAAGCUAGGGGAGCAAACGGG
rnacentral:rRNA from 1 species